rnacentral:SRP_RNA from 2 species
GCCUGGUGCAAUGGCUCGCACCUGUAAUCCCAGCCCUUUGGGAGGCUGAGGCAGGAGGAUCGCUUGAGCCCAGGAGGUUGAGGCUGCAGUGAGCUGCAUUCACACCACUGCACUCCAUCCUGGGCAACAGAGUGAGACCCUGUCUCAA